rnacentral:rRNA from 1 species
CCUACGGGAGGCAGCAGUGGGGAAUAUUGCACAAUGGGGGAAACCCUGAUGCAGCGACGCCGCGUGAGUGAAGAAGUACUUCGGUAUGUAAAGCUCUAUCAGCAGGGAAGAAAAUGACGGUACCUGAUCAAGAAGCCCCGGCUAACUACGUGCCAGCAGCCGAGGUAAUACGUAGGGGGCAAGCGUUAUCCGGAUUUACUGGGUGUAAAGGGAGCGUAGACGGGAGCACAAGUCCGGUGUGAAAGGCCGGGGCUUAACCCCGAAACUGCUUUGGAAACUGGGCAGCUAGAGUGCAGGAGAGGUAAGUGGAAUUCCUAGUGUAGCGGUGAAAUGCGUAGAUAUUAGGAGGAACACCAGUGGCGAAGGCGGCUUACUGGACUGUAACUGACGUUGAGGCUCGAAAGCGUGGGGAGCAAACAGGAUUAGAUACCCGAGUAGUC